UACGGGGGGGGCGAAGCGUUGUUCGGAAUUACUGGGCGUAAAGGGGGACGUAGGCGGCCAACUAAGUCCGACGUGAAAUCCCAAGGCUUAACCUUGGAACUGCGUCGGAUACUGGAUGGCUUGAAUUCGGGAGAGGGAUGCAGAAUUCCUGGUGUAGCGGUGAAAUGCGCAGAUAUCAGGAAGAACACCAAUGGCGAAAGCAGCUCUCUGGGACGGUACUGACGCUGAGACGCGAAAGCGUGGGGAGCGAACAGG
rnacentral:rRNA from 1 species